rnacentral:RNase_P_RNA from 1 species
UCAGGUGGCUGGGCGGCCGCUGGCAUCGCUGCAAGGCGGUGCUGGAGGAAAGUCCGGGCUCCACGGGAAUACGGUGCCGGCCAACGGCCGGCGGGGGUCAAACCCCAGGGAAAGUGCCACAGAGAAGAGACCGCCGGGCCGCCGCAAGGCUGUCCGGCAAGGGUGAAACGGUGCGGCAAGAGCGCACCGCGCCCCUGGCAACGGGGGCGGCAGGGCAAACCCCACCGGGAGCAAGGCCGAAUAGGGGUGACCGGCGAGCGUGGGCUUGGCCCGCGUGGCGCAAGGGCGUUCCCGCCCCGUCGCCCGGGUUGGCCGCGUGAGGCGCGCCGCGAGGCGCGUCCCAGAGGAAUGGUCGCCUCGUCCCCGGUUUUCCGGGGGCGGACAGAACCCGGCUUACAGGCCGCCUGACGCA